AUGGGAGAGCCCGGAGUGCUGCCGCGGUGCGCUCUGGGAGAUGGCGUUCGACGGUCUCCGGCCAAUCGCAACAGUUUCGUAGUCGGGGAAAACAAAAUGUGAAUAUUUAAAUUGAUGGAAUCUAUCGUGCAUGGGGAAGCGAGUUUGAGGAGGAUUUCUUCUGACUUUGACAGCACCAGUGUCUCUCCUGGAGAGGAAGAGGGGGCCACGCCAUCGAAAGAGUGCCGGCUUCCAGGAGUUCCAAUGUUGCAUACAUUCGUGCAUUGUUAGAAUAUAUGUAGCCCCUGGCAUGCUGUACGCUAUUUAGAAAUGAAUCUAAAUAAUCUUAUCACAAUGUAUAACCAUUCUGGUGUAUUUUGCAUAAACUUUUGGGAAGCUCACUACUCAAUUUGGAAAAUUGUAUUGGAUCUACUGCCCUGGGGGGAUAAUUACUUUCCUGUGCAUUAUAUAAUGCUUUUUUGAGUCAUAUUCAUACUCAUUACAGUGAUUUAUUUCUCUCUGCAACAUAUUAUUCAUUUGAAAGAAAAACACUAUUCUCGUAUUCAGGGAUUCCUGACAUACAAAGUACCUCUGCUGCAGAUAUCCAACCCUUAUUUACCCUAUUUUCUAUUCAUAUUAUUCCAAUUCAUUUCUUCUUUUUCCCUUUGCAGCAAUAACAACACCCACAGAACUUUUGGUGGCUCUGUAUAGAUUUAUUUUUAUCUAAGUUCCCAUCUACAAACUGUGCAUACAAAACUACAUCCAAUGAAAGAGGAUCUAAAGCUCUCUGGCAUAUGAUUUUGAGAAUUUACUUACUGUAUUUUCUAUCAUUUCAAUUGGCCAUGGCUAAAUGACCAACAUUUUAACUCAAAGUUAGGAAAAUGAAAUUAAUUGAGUAAAGAUUGUAUUGACAGACCAAACGA